GGAAGAUGGAAUUACUAUCUUCUGCUCAGAUAACAACUGAGGAAAGAGGCCCUACCCACCCUACGCUGUGAGAGAACUAAGUUGUGUGACUCCAAAAGAGCAGAAACCAGGAACUAGAGAAUGGAGGACCAAAGAUCAGAGAACAAACAGGGUAAUCCAGAUGACCGAGGGAUGGAUGUUGUGCCCUCUGUCCUUUAGGGGAUCACAAGUCUCUGCUGUGAUUGAGGAGGGUAACAUAUAGAAAACAGAAUUUUACAAUUCCACGUUUUAUAAUGUGAUGUCUAAAAAUGCACCUAUGGGAACAAAUGUGGAUUUCC
rnacentral:lncRNA from 10 species